UUCAUCAUUCAUCGACCGAGCAUUGGAAACUCAACUUGCUUUACAUUUCCUCGAACUUUCGAGGACACAAAACUAUUAAAGGGUCACACAAUUCACAAACAGUCUGCUUUGAUGAUGGGUGGGUCAUUCAUUCAGCAGGGAGUGAUGAGAGGCUUUGAACAUGACAAUCACAAGCAUGCCCCCUUCAGCUUUACAGCUGCAAUUUGUUUGAUUGGUGAGAUUAGGUGAGAAUUCCUUCAGUGUGUGUUGUGCUAGCUACCGAGCUUGUUUGAUCGG
rnacentral:lncRNA from 1 species